GAAGGUCCCAAGCGUUGUUCGGAAUCACUGGGCGUAAAGGGAGCGUAGGCGGCGUGGUAAGUCAGAUGUGAAAUCCCGGGGCUCAACCCCGGAACUGCAUCCGAUACUGCCAUGCUUGAGGGUUGGAGAGGUAGCUGGAAUUCUCGAUGUAGCAGUGAAAUGCGUGGAUAUCGAGAGGAACACUCGUGGCGAAGGCGAGCUACUGGACAACAUCUGACGCUGAGGCUCGAAGGCUAGGGGAGCAAAAGGGAUUAGAUACCCCUGUAGUCCUAGCAGUAAACGGUGCACGCUUGGUGUGAGGGGAUUCGACCCCCCUUGUGCCGGAGCUAACGCGUUAACGUGCCGCCUGGGAAGUACGGUCGCGAGACUA
rnacentral:rRNA from 1 species